rnacentral:rRNA from 1 species
GACGAACGCUGGCGGCGUGCUUAACACAUGCAAGUCGAACGGAAAGGCCCAGCUUGCUGGGUGCUCGAGUGGCGAACGGGUGAGUAACACGUGGGUGAUCUGCCUCUAACUUCGGGAUAAGCUUGGGAAACUGGGUCUAAUACCGGAUAGGACAAUCGUUUAGUGUCGGUUGUGGAAAGUUUUUUCGGUUUGGGUUGAGCCCGCGGCCUAUCAGCUUGUUGGUGGGGUAAUGGCCUACCAAGGCGCCGACGGGGAGCCGGCCUGGGAGGGUGGACGGCCCCAUGGGACUUGGGGACGGACCCGUGGGCAACAGGGGGCAAGGGGUGGGAACAUUUGCCAACGGGACCGAGGCGGAUGAGAAGGCCCCCGGGUGGGGAAGCCCGCCUUUCGGGUGAGAACCUCUUUCGACAGGGACGAAGCUUUGGUGACGGUACCUGUAUAAGAAGCACCGGCUAACUACGUG